CUACGGGACGCACCAGUCGCGAAUCUUUUACAAUGCACGCAAGUGUGAUAAAGCGAACCAAAGUGUUUUUCGUAUAGAAGAACUUUUGCUCACUGUAAAAAUGUGGGCGAAUAAGGACUGGGAAAGACCGGUGCCAGCCGCCGCGGUAAUACCGGCAGUUCAAGUCGCAUCCUAUUUUAUUGGGUCUAAAACAUCCGUAGCUUGUUUAUUAAGUCUCUUGUGAAAUCCUAUGUCUCAAGCAUGGGGCUUGCAGGGGAUACUAAUAAACUAGAGAUCGGGAGACGUAAGGAGUACGCGAGAGGUAGUGGUAAAAUACGUUAAUCUUUCGCGGACUAACAAUCAGCGAAGGCACCUUACGAGGACGAAUCUGACAGUGAGGGAUGAAGGCCAGGGGCGCAAAACGGAUUAGAUACCCGAGUAGUC
rnacentral:rRNA from 1 species